rnacentral:pre_miRNA from 1 species
GGCCCUGGAAGAGAAGAAGUUUCCCCAGUGUGUUCAUUUUAUUUGUGAUGAAUCAUUUUUGGCCACUCUUUUUUUGGUAUC